rnacentral:rRNA from 1 species
GACCUGCGGAAGGUCAUUAUUGAAUGAACUUGGUGUGGUUGUUGCUGGCCCUUUCGGGGGCAUGUGCACACCCAUCAUCCUCAUCUCUCCCACCUGUGCACCUCUUGUAAAUUUGAAUUGACUUUCCGAGGCAACUCGGCCGGAAGGAUUUGCUGGCAUUACCUGGCUUUCCUUGCAUUUCCAAGUCUAUGUUUUUCAUAUACCCCAUUGAAUGUAACAAAAUGUAACAUAUUGGGCCUUUGUGCCUAUAAAAACUUAUACAACUUUCAGCAACGGAUCUCUUGGCUCUCGCAUCGAUGAAAAACGCAGCGAAAUGCGAUAAGUAAUGUGAAUUGCAAAAUUCAGUGAAUCAUCAAAUCUUUGAACGCACCUUGCGCUCCUUGGAAUUCCAAGAAGCAUGCCUGUUUGAGUGUCAUUAAAUUCUCAACUAUUGUCAGCUUUUGCUGAUAAUGGCUUGAAUAUGGGGGUUUAUUUUGCUGGCUUCUUCACAAAUUGUCAGCUCCCCUUAAAUGCAUUAGCCGGGGCCCUGCGUGAACUGUCUAUUGGGGUGAUAAUUAUCUACGCCGGGAACAUCUACAAUCAUAUGGGUUUGCACUGCUUCCAACUGUCUGUUUAUUCAAACAAUACAUGACAAUUUGACCUCAAAUCAGGUAGGACUACCCGCUGAACUUAA